rnacentral:rRNA from 1 species
AAACGAUGAGUGCUAGGUGUUAGGCCCUUUCCGGGCUUAGUGCCGCAGCUAACGCAUUAAGCACUCCGCUGGGGAGUACGACCGCAAGGUUGAAACUCAAAGGAAUUGACGGGGGCCCGCACAAGCGGUGGAGCAUGUGGUUUAAUUCGAAGCAACGCGAAGAACCUUACCAGGUCUUGACAUCCCGAUCCCGCUCUAGAGAUAGAGUUUUACUUCGGUAAUCGGUGACAGGUGGUGCAUGGUUGUCGUCAGCUCGUGUCGUGAGAUGUUGGGUUAAGUCCCGCAACGAGCGCAACCCUUAUUGUUAGUUGCCAUCAUUCAGUUGGGCACUCUAGCGAGACUGCCGGUAAUAAACCGGAGGAAGGUGGGGAUGACGUCAAAUCAUCAUGCCCCUUAUGACCUGGGCUACACACGUGCUACAAUGGCUGGUACAACGAGUCGCAAGUCGGUGACGGCAAGCUAAUCUCUUAAAGCCAGUCUCAGUUCGGAUUGUAGGCUGCAACUCGCCUACAUGAAGUCGGAAUCGCUAGUAAUCGCGGAUCAGCACGCCGCGGUGAAUACGUUCCCGGGCCUUGUACACACCGCCCGUCACACCACGAGAGUUUGUAACACCCGAAGUCGGUGAGGUAACCUUUAGGAGCCAGCCGCCUAAGGUGGGAUAGAUGAUUGGGGUGAAGUCGUAACAAGGUAACCAAGGGCGAAUUCCAG